CAGGAGUGGGCUCAGAAGUUGGCUUCAGGGGCGCAGGUUCCACUACCGUGUCUCCCAUGGCCACAGCCAGACUUCGAGCUUCCGAGCUACAGGAGGGAGGAGGGAGGAAGAACAGAAAGGAAGACACAUAUACAUAUAGAAUCAAAGUUCCCACGGAAUAAGGGCCAGCAAUAUCAAGCCUAGCUUCACUUCGAAAUAAAUACCUCUAAAACAACUAUCAACCGCUCUGCUUAAGUCCUGCCAUUUGUCUGACUUCAUGAUAUCAUUUCCUCUUUCUUCAGUGCUGUGGCAGCUAAAGUAUAGUGGAGUUCUGAACUUGGGGUCAAAUAGGCUGGAGUUCAAAAUCCUGCCAUUAUGAAAUGUAUAAACUUAUGCAAGUUAUGUGGCUUCUGAGUUUCAAUUUCCUCGACUGUAAAAAUGAGAAAAACAUAUUUAUACCUCACUAUUGCCACAAAGAAUAAAUAACUUCAUGCACGUAAAAAGAUCGAGCAUAGCCCCUGGCACAAAGCAGCACUCGAUAAAUGCUAGUUGAAUCCUCAUUACUGAAAA